rnacentral:rRNA from 1 species
AGAGAUGGAUUGGUGCCUUCGGGAACUCUGACACAGGUGGCUGCAUGGCUGUCGUCAGCUCGUGUCGUGAGGAUGUUGGGUUAAGUCCCGUAACGAGCGCAACCCUUGUCCUUAGUUACCAGCACGUUAUGGUGGGCACUCUAAGGAGACUGCCGGUGACAAACCGGAGGGAAGGUGGGGAUGACGUCAAGUCAUCAUGGCCCUUACGGCCUGGGCUACACACGUGCUACAAUGGUCGGUACAAAGGGUUGCCAAGCCGCGAGGUGGAGCUAAUCCCAUAAAACCGAUCGUAGUCCGGAUCGCAGUCUGCAACUCGACUGCGUGAAGUCGGAAUCGCUAGUAAUCGUGAAUCAGAAUGUCACGGUGAAUACGUUCCCGGGCCUU